GAUAUUGAUGGUUUGCGUACGCGGGAAGAUACUCUCUCUAGCAAGCCAUGGAACGCAGAGAAGGUGGGUGCUGACACACUAAACCCGGAGGCUUAGGGGUGACUCUCUCUCCCUCUCGAGGGAUGCAGCGGCGGUAUAGAGGGGAGAGUAUUGAUGUGUUACCCUCGGAGAGUAGGGGUAGCGCUCCCUCUAGAUCUCCUGGGCCGGUUCCUCACACGUUGGGAACUCACAAGAGUUUAGGGGGUUCGGUCACUUCUCGCUAGAGUACCUCGCUAAUGCGUGUGCCAGUCUAGCCUUCGACGCACUGUGCGAACCUCUCAGGCUGUUUCUGGAGUGUGGCCUACCCCAUUCUGUACACUACCUGGUUAUGUUCGAAUGGUACCGAUGCACCUGAUGCACGCCAGGUACAGGUGUUGACAGUGGUAGUUGCUUCCAGUACUGAGCCAGGGUCAACUUCUUCAGCUACUUGCUCACGUACCUAGUGCUUCGUGGACGAUUCGCCCAACACGUAUCCCUACGUGGUACGGGUGUCUGUGGUGAUGGUUGCUUCUCGUUAUGUAGUGGCUACGCCUUCUACUACUGGUCUAGAUACAGUCUUUCCGGCUCCCGAACCCAUGGUCUAGAGUAUCGUCUAGUGUUCUUUCUUCUACGAACGGCUUUUACACCCGAUUCACUAUUAGAACAUAGAACAUGUUGUACAUGUAUACGUAAAGUGGCCUUUACAGACCAAGGAACGGAUUUAUAGUGUAGACUAUUCACCUCGACGGGACUUACACAUUCGGGUGACUGUCUCUACCUCUUCUAUAAUCUAACACUUUGCUUCCAACGAAGACUUCUCUGAUCAAGAAGCCUCAGACCUAGUUUAUUCUUUGGACAGUUCGUUAUAGACUAUUUUACCUUUCCUAAUAGUGUGUAAGUGACGUGAACCCACAGUCUUCUACUUAUAAAACUCCGACGCUUCUAUGUGGGAGCCAACUUUUGAUCUAACUUAUUGAAGUUAUCUGUCAAACUCAGCUGCCUAUUUAGACUGCUACUGAUACAAGGUUAAUCCGGACUUACCUGUUGACAACUGUCCCAGGAACGAUCGUCUUUUUUGAGAUCACCACUUUCCCUCAUGAUACACUUUACCUUCCUUGAAAGCAUGCUACUUACGUGUACCCUUUCACUCAGACUGUAGAGCCACAAAGUUGGAGUCUAACUCGCGAUGUUACUCUAAGACAGGUUCGCGUUCUUUAGAUGACUGUUCUCAUUCUUACGGCUAGCACGCUACGCAGUACGACUUCCCUGAGGGCUCAAAGAAUGACCACCGUGUGAUGUGGGAAUAGUCGAACUUCCCAAUUUGAAAGACGCAAUAAGUACCAGAUAAUUAUUUGCACAGUAGGAACCACUACUCUACCCAGAACCCUUUUGUUAUGUUUCAUAACGAAAAGACCGGAGACACAGACUUCUGUUCAAACCAGGGGUAGAUCAACAACGGGGAGAGAGUUGGAACGCUUUAACCCUCGCACUUAAACGUUGAACCCGUGGAGUUUACUUACAAUAAUACAUAAAGCCUAGACCUAGAAGAGCACUGUAAUAGUUCUUCAUACUUAAAAUGAUAAGGUUUCUAUUAGGAUUCUUCGACUUCUUUUUAUUUAGUAGAAGUAGAUUACUGCUUUUCUUCGUCAGUUCUUAUUUUAAACUACAGGAAAACUGUAGAAUACUCUACUAAUUGUACCUAAGACGUCAGGACUUUUGAUAUCUUACCCUCACGUACUAACACCUACUCCCCGUGGCGAACUUCUUGUUUCUAAGUUUCAACAAACCAGAUGAAUUCCUAAUAGUAUGAGUUGUAGCACAAGAGAAUUGCCCCUGGGGUCAAGUCUUAUUGGACCUACUCGAAAAGUACGACUACGUGAAGGAGCUCCCACUUUGAAAACCCUCAUAUAGACUAGAGGUUCUCCUCAAAUUCCUAUAGUUGGUUCUGUUCGUUCAGCUCUUCGAGGUACCUUACGACUUCGGUGUGGAAGAAGCCUCUAAGUUCUUUCUACAAUACUUCCUUGAAGGAGGUUUUUUCCUCGACUAAAAUGCUCAGCUCGACUGUUCGUUUGUCUUUCUUAUGAUGUUCCGUUAAGAGUGGUUCUUGAUGCGGCACAAUAGAGCAGCACCACCACCUGUACAAAGGGAAUAUUUACAGCAUUACCUCGACGCGUUUGAAACAACGGUACCUAAGUACUGCCUACUUGGACUAUGACUCGGACGCUCGGGUCUUCUUCCAAAUUCCUCCGAAAAUCUAAGAAGACCUUUCUACGUUGAUAAUCUGUUCUACUACCACUUCGACUUUCUCGUCCCAGUAUCUCAGGAAUAGAUAAGUGUCAAGGUUGUAUACAACCUGAAUGACCUCCUAAUAAAUUCGAUGUCCUUUACCUCGAUGCUUGCAUAACUACCGUUCUAUCCACCGCGACUUUCCGUCUAUGCUUAUCUAGCGAAGUUACGAUUCUGAAGAUGAUCCAAGACGAAAGAAGAAAGAUGAUCUCGACCACCGAACCCAUAUUUAAACCGUUGCCGACUAUGACAUUAAUAGAUACUGUCACUGACCUUAGGUGUGCGCCUAGAUGUUCGAUACCGUUCUCGGGUAGCAAAUCCCGUCUGAUCGUUCCAAUACUAUAUAUCUGAACAAUCAGCUCCAUGUUAACUCCUCGCUUACUACGUCGAAUGUUUCUUUUUCUACUAUGACCUUGUGAAUCAACAACCCUCUGAGUGUUUCCGAUCGUUACAGUUAGUCCUCCUCAAUCUACUAUAAUAGGCCAUACCCAGUUUUCUUGAAAAACUACUACUGCUCCUACUUCGACCUUUCAGGGCGGUUUAUGUAAUACUACUACGACGUUAUCUAUCCAAUAACCUGGCACUGGUUCAGCUGCUCCUUCUUAUAAACCUUCUACUUCUUCUACUGCUUAAAGACUUUCCAAAGUUCCAACGCUUGAAGCUCAUGUAUCUACUCCGAUUUCGAAAUCGUCGUUUUCUCCUCCGUGCGUUUUUUCGCCUUCGACUUCGGCGUAGGUUAUUUCGUUUGAUAACCCUUCUUAAUAACUUUCUGUCUACGCAACUCGUUCUUCAUCUUCUUUAACGAUACCCUUUUCCUUUUUCUUCGGCGUUCGUCUACCGACGACGACUACUCCUACUGUAAUGACCGGACGUGCUCAAUUCAAGACUUCUGCUCCUAAUGAGGAUACUACUACUACACAGCCUAUUACUGUGCUCAAAUGGUCGUUUACAAAGACCCUCCUUCCGAGUCAUAAGAUUCUUUUUGAGUGCAUUACAUCUAAGUGAGGGAAACUACCUCCCACUUCCCGCACGAAAUUUUCAAAUACCUAAGUUAGUGCAAGUUGCUUGUGUUAAGGAUGUCUGUGAGUACUCCAUACCAAAAGUCUUGAUACUAACCUUUCUCAUAGAAGGAGCAAACUUCCCCUUUUCACAGCUCCUUUAAGUCUCUAUACCGCUCGAACAGUACCGGGUAGAACAUCUCCUGUGUUUACUGAGUGGUUGGAUACGUCUACCACACGGCUUCCUUUACGCACGACUACUCUGUAACCAGUCCGAUCGGUUUUAUAGUGAACACCUCCUCUUCCACCGACGGUACCUCGUUCCUUUUUAAUGUUUUGAGAAGGGGUUGAUGAACAACGUACUUAAAUGACCGAAUAGUCCACCUUCUUAUACCUUUCCCCUUGUACUAGAUGACAAUGACUUUCGUGAUUAUUUCGUGCCCAUACGGUCCACCGUCAUGUAUAGUCUACUGUCUCUAUUGCCCGAUAAACUUUGACGAGCUGCCCUCGAAUUAGAAGGAAGACGAUUACUUAACUAAUCAAGAGUCAGUUUGUUACUCCGUUUACCUUUAGACCUUUUGUGUGUCCUUCACGUCCACUUGGGUUGCUCGAAUAGAGUUAUGUCCCUGUAGGUCUCUUUCUAACAACUCAAAUAGUCUUUCUCUAUGGUAUAAGACCUUUUUACGAACCUGUAACUUAUACGGCACUAUUUUUGUUUAUGAGGACAAGGACUACUAGAAUGACUUGUUUUACAAGGAUACCCUGUAUCGGGUCGACAAGGUCUAUAGUCACUUCACAACUCUCUUGAAGGGGGAGAACAUGGUUAAAGACGGUUUCUUCACCGAAGACUACCGAGUUGACUGGUCCGUGUGGAAAGGGUAGAAAUGUUGUUCUACACGCCACACGAACUUCUGUCGCCGGGUGCACGUGAGUUAAGUAAGACGCCACUGUUCCGUCGGAGACGCUCAGAUCGGUUGUCGGAGGUAGUCAAGCUCUUUCAUACGCUCCUGCAACUAGCCCAGAACUCUCAGGUUCUCUUGCCACGACGAUGGGGGUUUCUCGUUCACCAUCUACGGUCACAGCUUCUUCGGUUCGGAGGUGUUCUACGUCCGCAACACCGCCGCUUGCCACAGCCCGGAAGCUGACAUUUCGGCCUCCUGUUUUACCUUUAGCUACCAACUACAAAUCCCUAUUCUUGACAUAGCCUGGGGGAGAAGUCAAAUCAACGAAGUCAAAUCAACGAUUUGACCAAGAUCAGAUGGAACAACAUUAACUUUCGAUCCGUGGUCAUCAGUCAUGAUUACUAAUGGGCAUGGUUUAAAAGGACAGAGCAUACGAACGCAACAAAAUAGGUCUGUAACUCUCCGAUGGCAACACAUUGCGGGUGCUACGCCGAUAUAGAGAGUACACAGCUCCGUACUGAACGAGAACCCACGCAAGAACGUUCUCAACGUUUUA
rnacentral:rRNA from 1 species